rnacentral:rRNA from 1 species
UACAGAGGUCUCAAGCGUUGUUCGGAUUCAUUGGGCGUAAAGGGUGCGUAGGUGGCGUCGUAAGUCAGGUGUGAAAUCUCGGGGCUCAACCCCGAAACUGCACUUGAUACUGCGAUGCUCGAGUACUGGAGAGGAGAUUGGAAUUUACGGUGUAGCAGUGAAAUGCGUAGAUAUCGUAAGGAAGACCAGUGGCGAAGGCGAAUCUCUGGACAGUUACUGACACUGAGACACGAAGGCCAGGGGAGCAAACGGG